AAAUGUUGGAAAGAUGGAACAAUGGUUGAAUUCUUAUAUAAACCCAUGCACACCUCACUUGUAAAUCAUUCCGCAGGAAAUCCCUCAAUCAUGUAGUAACUUUGCAUACAUGAUAAGAUCUUGAGAUAAAUUUUGAAUUUUUUGCAAACUUCUUUGAGUUUAUAGUGCAUUUGUUGCCUCUGUGGAUAUAGGUGGAUUGCCGAAACAUUAAAUUCAUGUGUUUUUGUGUGUAUUUUAUUUUUUCUCUUUGAAUUUUGGAGCUUCAAUUCAAUAAUACUGUUGUUGUUCUCCAGAUAAUUUUUUUUAUCAAAUAUUUUCUGAUUCUUUUCUUCAACUACAUUUAGAAUCCAGUGCAGUCACAAUCUCAAAGUCUCUCUCUAAUUUGUGGAACAAGCAUAAAAUUUCCUCCAAAGAAACCUCCCAUUGGUAAGAAAAAGACGCUUGAAACUUCAGGGAACUCCCAACCCCAAGCAAGUAAACAGCUGAAAACUAGUGGAGCUUUCCUGGAUCAAAGCAUUGAACAGCUUAAUGAUGUGACUGCUGUCAGUGGAGUCAAUCUAAGGGCAGAAGAGGAGCAACUACUUGUUGCUCGGACAGAAGGAACACAAGCUUCAGAGGCAAUUCAAAGAGUUGUACGAGAGGAAGAAGAAAAAUCAAUUCUGCAGAAGGGACCUAUACAGAAAAAGCUGACGCAAAUCAUUUCCAGAUGUGGUUUAGGAGGUAUAAGUAAAGACGUGGAGUAUUGUCUAUCUAUGUGUGUAGAGGAACGUUUGCGGAGCUUCAUAGGCAAUUCGAUAAGAUUAUCUAAGCAGAGGGUUGACAUUGAGAACAAGAGGCACAAACUUGUUGUCACUUCUGAUAUCCAGCACCAGAUUUUGACUAUGAAUCAAAAAGGCAAGAAAGAAUGGGAGAAAAAACAAGCUGAGGAAUCAGAAAAGUUUUGUAAGCUAG